GUCCUGAAGGAACGUUAAAGACGAUGACGUUGAUAGGUCGGGUGUGUAAGUGUAGCGAUACAUUGAGCUAACCGAUACUAAUGAACCGUGAGGCUUAACCUUACAACGCCGAAG
rnacentral:rRNA from 2 species